rnacentral:rRNA from 1 species
UGGGGAAUAUUGCACAAUGGGCGCAAGCCUGAUGCAGCCAUGCCGCGUGUGUGAAGAAGGCCUUCGGGUUGUAAAGCACUCUCAGCGGGGAGGAAGGCGUUAAGGUUAAUAACCUUGGCGAUUGACGUUACCCGCAGAAGAAGCACCGGCUAACUCCGUGCCAGCAGCCGCGGUAAUACGGAGGGUGCAAGCGUUAAUCGGAAUUACUGGGCGUAAAGCGUACGCAGGCGGUUUGUUAAGUCAGAUGUGAAAUCCCCGGGCUCAACCUGGGAACUGCAUCUGAUACUGGCAAGCUUGAGUCUCGUAGAGGGGGGUAGAAUUCCAGGUGUAGCGGUGAAAUGCGUAGAGAUCUGGAGGAAUACCGGUGGCGAAGACGGCCCCCUGGACGAAGACUGACGCUCAGGUGCGAAAGCGUGGGGAGCAAACAGG